AGACAACAGAGACUGAUACAUAUCCAGAAAUAUCCAGAAAUUAAUGUACACAUUAGUCUGACAAAAGUCACAUGGCAGGAAGAUAGGCACACAAGAGCGCACAGUAUAGGCAAAGUAAAAUCUUUAACGCAGGGUCUUGUGGACAAUUCAAAAACCAAUUUGCAAAAUGCAUGGCAAAAAUAUACUGAAAUUCCGCAUUUAUAGUCACAGCGUGGCUAUUUUACCCUGCGUUUUGAAAUUCGGAAAUUCAUUUUCGACAAAGUUGCUUUUUAGUGAACUUAUACAUUGGGAGCUUUCAUCCCAGAAAACAUGAAAACACUUAAAAUUGCAGUGUAAGAAUCUUGCAACAAAAGCCAUAGUGCUUGACUUAAUGAAAACACAUAUGCUAAAGAUUUUAGUUCUAGUUUUUUUGGAACUUUCCCUUUGAGGAAAAUAAAGUUAGAGAUGUGUUUGAAUACAGCAAACAUUCCACCACAUGAAGCAACUAUCUGCUCACUGAUCCAUAAGGUUCAUCAUACUAAAUAUUAGGUCCUUGAUGCACAUAGUACCAAACUGCACCCGUAGUCUAAAAAUCAGAGGGAGCUCCUUUAAAUCUUUUUAGCAAGCCUGGGUAAGCCUGAAAGAUAAUUAAUUGUAUUAAAAAUCAAUAUCUACAUCAGUUUCCUUAAUAGAACAUUCGAAAUACAGAACGUACUUACUUGCUCAGCUGACUGAUGAACAUACUGAAAGUCUAAUGAACUUGGAAUCAUUCAGCACACAAUAAAAUGCAACUUUUUCUUGAAUUUCUCUUUAAAAACUCAAAAAACUGAAAGGGGCCUUUAUUAAAAAGAUUAACAUCAAUCACAGUAAUUAUUCCACUACAAAAGAAUUUGGGGUAAAAUACACAAUUCCGUGUAAAAGGGUUACUAUAUCAUGCUAUAAGGUCAAAAGGUCAAGUAAGCAUUCAUUUUCUGUUUAAGUAAUAUGUUGUACUGCACUUGUUUGGUUUUCUCAAGGUUAACCUCACUGUACAUUCCAACAGCACUUUUUGUAACGUAAGGCGAAAUGAUGCGAUACAGUCCUCCAUUUUUGAUGACGGCCGCGAAG